GCCGGGGUGGUGAAAUUGGCAGACACGCCAGGUUUAGGACCUGGUGCCCGUAAGGGCUUGGAGGUUCAAGUCCUCUCCCCGGCACCA
rnacentral:tRNA from 1 species